UACGAAGGGGGCUAGCGUUGUUCGGAUUUACUGGGCGUAAAGCGCACGUAGGCGGACCAUUAAGUCAGGGGUGAAAUCCCGGAGCUCAACUCCGGAACUGCCUUUGAUACUGGUGGUCUAGAGACCGAGAGAGGUAAGUGGAACUCCUAGUGUAGAGGUGGAAUUCGUAGAUAUUAGGAAGAACACCAGUGGCGAAGGCGGCUUACUGGCUCGGAACUGACGCUGAGGUGCGAAAGCGUGGGGAGCAAACAGG
rnacentral:misc_RNA from 1 species